rnacentral:lncRNA from 1 species
GUGGAAAAAAACUCACCUAGGUGAAGAAAUUCUCUCUCAAGCUCCAAAUGGGAGUUAGAGUUCUUCAAAUCCAACCUAAAUAAAGGUUCUAAACCCAUCAAUUAGGUUUCAAAGCCCUCAAAUCAAAAAUCCCCAAAAUAAGCCCUAAAUCCCAAAAUCUAUUGUUUCAUCUAGUAAAAUCUAGAAAAACUUAUAUUAAAUGGGAAAUACAAGCUACCAACCUCAAGAGAAGCUCCAAUCCAAGCUCUAAACCUAGUAGGGUUGGAGUUUGAUCCUCCACAAGGCUCCAACCGCAAGCUCCAAGCCACCAAAGGUGAGAAAUGAGGGGAAGAAGAUGAUGUUCCAAGGCCUCCAAGCAAGCUCCUCUCUUUCUCCUUCUUCUUCUCCUUCUCUUUCUCUCUCUAGAGUGAGUGUGAAGGGUAGAAAUGAGGGAAAGGGAGAAGAGAAAGGCUCUAAAAGCCUUCGAAUGUAACACAAUCCUGAUAAGUCCCUCAACAAUCCAAACAGCACACAGCCAGGGUCUGGGCAGUUUUCGCCCAGAGGGACCGGUCUCUCCCUGCAAGGGACUGGUCUCUCGGUUUGUCCCGCAAAACCAACAUUCGGGAACCGGUCUCUCACUGCCAGGGACCGGUUGCCUCAAGUCUGCCGCAACACUGUUCUGAGGGGACCGGUCUUUCCCACCAGGGACCGGUCCCAGAGAGUGAAAACUCUCAGGACUAAGCCAAAAUUCCAGAAAUCAAACUUUUAGGUCGGAAUACCAUCUACGACCUUCCACCAAGUGUGAAAAAGUUCGGAGUCCACAUCAAACACUCGAACCUCGCAAUUUGCACAGGUCCAGUGUGUUACAUUCACCCCUCCUAAAAAGGAGUUUCGUCCGCGAAACUCGAAAGCAAACAACAUACCUCAAAACUCUAUCUGAAAAAGAUGGGGAUAGCGCUCCUGCAGCGCACUCUCCAGCUCCCACGUGGCCUCCCGCUCCCCGUGGUUGCUCCAAAGAACCUUUACAUACAAAUGUCCCGAUUCCGUAGUUUCUUCACCUCGCGAGCCCAGAUCUUCACUGGUUACUUCUCGAAGCUCAAGUCGUCCCGCAACUCCACAGGUGUAACAUCCAACACAUGAAUCGGGUCGAAGACAUACUUCCGAAGGACUGAUACAUGAAAAACGUUGUGUACGCUUGAUAGGUUCGGUGGUAGAGCAAGUCGAUACGCUACCGGACCUACACGCUCCAAAACCUCAUACGGUCUAAUGAAACAGGGGCUCAACUUAUUCCAAAUUCCGAAUCUCUUGAUCCCUCUAGUCGGCGAGACCUUCAAGAAAACAUGGUCUCCAACUUGAAACUCUAAGUCUCGCCGUCGUCGGUCGGCGUAGCUCCUCUGUCUACUCUGUGCCGUCAAAAGUCGCUCCCGAGCAAUUCGAACUUUGUCCUCAGCUUCCUGGAGUACAUUAGGGCCUAAAGCCAAUCUCUCGCCAACUUUGCUCCAAUGAAGUGGCGAUCUACACUUCCGUCUAUAAAGUGCUUCGAAGGGCGCCAUCUUGAUGCUUGCUUAAUAACUGUUGUUAUAAGCAAACUCUGCCAUCGGUAGAUACUGCUACCAUCCUCCCUGAAAGUCUAUCACACAUACCCGGAGCAUAUCCUCUAAAAUCUGAAUGGUGCGCUCCGACUGCCCAUCACUCUUAGGGUGGAAGCAGUGCUAAAGUCCAAACGAGUGCCCAGGGUGUCCUGCAAGCUCCUCCAAAAGUGAGACACAAACCGAGUGUCUCGAUCCGAUACAAUCGAUGUAAGCACUCUAUGAAGUCGUACAAUCUCAUCAAGGUACACUUGUGCGAGCUUCUCUCCGGUCCAAUUAGUAUGAACAGGUAUGAAGUGCGCCGACUUCGUCAACCUAUCCACGAUCAUCCAAAUAGCAUCAUGCCCGGCCUGAGAACGGGGCAAUCCAGUCACGAAAUCCAUGGUGAUCUUCUCCCACUUCCACACGGUAAUAGACAAACUCUGAAGCUUUCCCGCGGGUAAUCGGUGCUCAGCUUUCACUUGUUGGCAAGUUAGACAUCGAGCUACAAACUCGCCAACGUCCUUUUUCAUCCCGGGCUACCAAUAGAGCAACUUUAAGUCCUUGUACAUCUUGGUGCCACCCGAAUGUAUAGCAUACGGUGCCCGGUGUGCUUCUUGAAGAAUAUCCUCUCUAAUUUCCGAAUCCACCGGUAUACAAAUCCGUCCACGGAAACGCAUCAAUCCUUGGUCAUCCACAAGGAAAUCGCCGGUGCAACCAUUAACCAUUUUAUCUCGAACUUUUUGUAAUUCUAAAUCGGGAACUUGCUUUUCUUUAAUUCUAUCCAAAAGUGUAGGUUGCACCACCAAGGUCAUCAAUCUCAAAGGCGUAUCUGGAAUCACCACUUCCAACUCCAACCGCUUCAUCUGUUCAAUCAACUACGGUUGAGUAACUACAUGCAUCGCUAAGUUUUCCAUCGAUUUCCUACUUAGCGCAUCCGCCACCACGUUAGCCUUACCCGGGUGGUAAAGGAUCGUCAGAUCAUAAUCCUUGAGCAGCUCCAGCCAUCUACGCUGUCUCAAGUUCAACUCCUUUUGGGUGAACAAGUAUUUCAAGCUCUUGUGAUCCGUGUACACUUCACACCACUCGCCAUAAAGGUAAUAGCGCCAUAACUUCAAUGCGAAGACUACGGCCGCCAACUCCAAAUCGUGCGUAGGGUAAUUCUUUUCAUAUUCCUUCAGUUGGCGACAAGCAUACGCGAUCCGUUAAGAGAUGCAUCAAAACACAGCCCAAUCCGUUAAGAGAUGCAUCACUGUAAACCACAUAUCCUGCUCCAACAACUGGCAGGGUUAGGAGAGGGGCGGUCGUCAGUCGUUGCUUCAGCUCUUGGAAGCUUCUCUCGCACGCAUCAUUCCAGAUGAACUUAACAUCUUUAUGCGUGAGCCUCGUGAGGGGAAUAGAUAGCUUAGCAAACCCCUCGACAAAUCUCCGGUAGUACCCGGCCAAUCCAAGAAAGCUCCGUAUCUCCGUGACACUUGUCGGUCUCGGCCAAUCCUUGAUUGCUUCAAUCUUCUUAGGAUCCACGGCUAUACCAGAUCCCGAUAUCAAAUGUCCAAGAAAAGCUACCUCUCGAAGCCAAAACUCAUACUUUUUCAGCUUGGCAAAGAGCUCCUUUUUUCAAAGUACUUGAAGUACAAGCCUCAAAUGCUCCUCGUGAUCUGCAUCACUUCGGGAAUAAACCAAAAUGUCGUCAAUGAACACCACAACGAACCUGUCUAAAUAAAGCUUAAAAACACGGUUCAUCAGAUCCAUAAAAGCUGCCGGAGCAUUAGUAAGCCCAAAUGGCAUAACUGUGAACUCAUAGUGUCCAUACCAUGUUCUAAAAGCCGUCUUCGAUACAUCCUCGGGUUUGAUCUUUAAUUGGUGGUAUCCCGACUGCAAGUUGAUUUUGGAAUACACACACGAUCCUUGAAGCUGAUCAAACAAGUCAUCGAUCCUCGGCAACGGAUACUUAUUCUUGAUCGUGACUUUAUUGAGUUCACGAUAGUCCACACAUAGGCGAAGUGAUCCGUCCUUCUUCUUGACGAACAGAACGGGCGCUCCCCACGGUGAGACGCUCGGUCAAAUGAAGCCCUUGUCCAACAGAUCCUGUAGCUGUGCCCUCAGCUCCGUUGGUGCCAUCCUAUAGGGUGCCUUCGAGAUUGGAGUAGUCACAAGGACGAGAUCUAUCACAAACUCGAUCUCCUUAUCGGGUGGCAUACCCGAUAGCUCAGCUGGAAACACGUCUUGGAACUCCCGUACCACCAGAAUAUCCUCAAUCCUAAGGGUAUCAUCCUCGCCCCUCAACACAACAUUAGCCAAGUAAGCUACACAUUCUCGGCUUAUCAGCUGCCUAGCUCGAGACGAGCUGAUCGACAUCGCGAAAAGCGAACUCCGGCAUCCUCUAAAUACAACCUCAGUCUGCCCCGGUUCUCUAAAAGUAACCGUGCGAUUCUUACAAUCAAUCGUGGCAUAGUACUUGGUUAGCGAAUCCAUACCCAAGACCACAUCGAAGUCCCCUAGUUUUCACAGAGCUAGCAAAUCCACGGGCAUGAUCCAACCUCCUACCCGAACAGGACAACUAGGGCAAUACUCUCUAAUAUCCAGAGUGUGGUCGGGUACUACAGCAUGUCCCGGAUACAACAAAGAAACCAAAGGGAUGCCAUGCAACUCGGCAAACAGCCGAUCUAUAAAUAAAUGCGAUGCACUGGUAUCAAAUAAAGCACGAACUCUAAUGCCAUUAAGUAAAAUGAUACCUGCAACCACAUCCUUGGCUGCUGCCGCCCCCUCGGUCUGAGCGGCAUACAAACGCCUACUCGGGGCCUGUCGAGAUCCCUCGCUCUGGCGCUGGACGGAUGGCCGCCCGGGCUGGUACUGUGUCGACGGAGUUCCGUGGCUAGCGGCUGGUAGAGCCGGUGCCGAUGCAGUCGACGGUGCCGGUGAAGAACCUCUCGGGCACUCAGUCCGAAAGUGGCCCUUCUGGCCACACUGGAAACACCUCCCUCCCCGCUGCGGGCACUGCGGUGGAAUGUGGGGACGACCACAGAUCACGCACUGGGGAGGUCGGCGUCAGUGAGAACCUCCACGGUGGGUCGCCGAGCCACGCCCACGCUGCUGGCUCCUAGGAUGCUUCGGCGGCCUCCUAAAGUGCGUUUGGCUCGCACCCUCAACCGUAGGCCUCUUGGCCUUACCCUUGUCCAUAGCCUCUCGCAGCUCCUGGACAUCUGCCGCGCCGCUCUCCACGAUGAGCGCGCUAUCCACCACCUCCCGGUAGGUUUGGAGGUUAGAGGAUUGUACAAACCGGAAGAUCGACGGUCGCAAUCCUCACUCAAAGAUGCGGGCCUUGUCCUCGUCGUCCUGCACGACGAAAGACACGCAGUGUAGAAGCCGAAAAAACUCCCGCUCGUACUUGGCUACUGUCCUGUCUCCCUGGCGCAAGUUGCGCAAGUCCUGCUCCAUCUUCCUCUUGACGCUGGUCGAAAAGUAAAGCGCCAACAGAAGCUCCUUGAACUUCUUCCACGAGAUAGCCACCAAAUCAGUGCUGGGGUUCUCCUGGAGAUCCAACCACCAGCGGUAGGCCUCGCUGUCCAAAUGGUGUGUGGCGAGCCAAACUCGAUCUCUUUCCUCCACGAAGGUGUCGCGGAAGAGCUUCUCCAUAUUCAUUAACCACUUCUCCACGAUCCAAUGGUCGACCUUCUCACCAUCAAAGAUCCAGGGACUGCAUCUCCUGAACUCAUUGAGGCGAUCCAUCAGUCAGUUCCGCUCCGCUCCCUCGACCAACACGGGGAAAACAGCUCCAAUCGGGGGCCUCUGCACCGGUGGUGCGGCAAUAGCCUCCUCCUGAGGUGCGGCCGUGGGCGCUGCUCGUGAAGAACUGGGCGCGGGGCACGGCGAUCUCUGCGCGACGUCCACAACUGGUGCUGGCGGUGUAGGGGCCUGAGUCUCCCUGGAAGCUGCCGCCUGCUGCAGAAGAAGGUCCUCCAGGCGCUUCAUCCGCGCCUCCUGCCGGCGCGCCGCCGCAGUCUGCUGUCGGGCCGCAGUCUGCUGUCGGGCCGCCUCCGCCUACUUAGUCACUAGGUCGGUGAGGGCCGCAAGCUGGCUCCUCAACUCCUGGACCUCGCCAGAUCCGGAGGUAGCGGAGGUCUCGACCUCCUCAAGAUGUGCCGCAUUAUCCGCUCCGGCAGAUUGGGACCGAGUGAUCGGCAUGUCACUACAACAUCAUAAAAGCGUAAGUUAGUAACCCACACUAUCGUAUCCCCGCUCAAGCAGAUAAUACCCCAAAUCAUGCGAAAGUAAUGAAGUGUGCUUCACUACUAACUCCCGAUGUUACGUUGUCGGCCGCCAACAUAACCCUCCGCGAAGUUAGGAGCUAUACACUUCAAUUUAACUCUGCUUUCUAGAGUUAUCAAGAUACCGAAUCAAAAUACUAUCGCUUACAAGUCAAAUAGACCUCGUCUCUCACGAGCCUAUUUCCUAUAGUCCAACCGGCCUAAGGUUUGCUAGGUCCACUAAGACUCAACCCUAGGCUCUGAUACCAAACUAAUCUGUCACGCCCCGGGACCUAGCGGAAGCCCGCCCGGCCCGUGUCCAGACCGCCAUAUGUCUGAAACAUAUAAGGCGUUUAAAACAAAACGAUAAAUAAAGCAAAUAGAGGAGAUCGAGAGAUAUCAGAGAACUAUACAAUAUUUAGUAUCUAAAGCAGUGUGAAGAGUAGAGAGCUAAAAUCACUAAAUAAACCAUAAAGUAAAUACAAAAGGAAUCCCAAAUACUAAAGCUAAACAAGUACAUAGGUAGUCUCUCUAUACAAGGUACUCAAAAUCUCUCUCUCACUCUCUAAUACAAUAAAAGAAAGAGUAAACCACUUACGUUCAAUAGUAGCUCCUUUCUAUCUAGCUAGGCGACACCCUUGCCGUGAUUCCGUGCCUCCGCCGGUACCGAAGGCUCUGAAAAGAAAACAUAAAACAGAAGGCAUGAGAACUAUUAAAUAAUAGUUCCUAGUGGGCAAUUACUGACUUCAGUAAAAGCACCACUAGGCCCAAAAGAGCUAAACAGGUAAGUAACAAUAAAAGCAAUAGAAUCGAUAUGUAAGUAAACAUGUAAACUUACUACAACAUGAUAACUCUACUUAGCAUGAAUUUGCAUAAGUAAAUAAAGGCUAUUCUAACAUGAAUGUACAAAAGUGUCACUAGCAUGAUGUCCACAAGCUAAAUAGUAAAAUGUCUUGUUUACUAUUCUAGUCAAUGUCCAGCAGGUAUGCUAGGUCAUCAAUGAUCUAAUCCUGUAGGACCUACCCGUGGGUAGUCCGGCCUGCGUCAUGCCUAAUGGCCCCGUGGUAGUCAACAUCCCCACUCUAGAAAUGAGCCUCCCCUACGGCAUCCCAUUUCGGCGCCCAAUCCCGCACGAGUGAGCAUACGUCGCGAUGGCUAUCUCCGGAGUGCAGGCUUGUAGGGAGCGACCCUCACAAGUAUGUGCGAAUGAGCACAUUGGCAAGCAAGCGAAAGAUCUGUCUCAAUUACCAAGUCCUCAUGUCUAAAAAUAUGGAAUAUACGUCGAAUGUCUCAAAGGCCUAUCUCUAUGUCAUCAUGUCUCUAAUAUAGAACAUAGCAGAUGUUCAAUAGCCUAUCACUAUGUCUCUAUGUUGCAAUUUCAUAGUUUACUAUGUCAAGUGCCUCUUUAUGGCAUUUUGUCAACUAAGUCCAAACAUGAGUUUAUUGUUUACAAAUACAUAAUUUGAGUAAUUUUUAACAUAAAGGAAAUGUUUCCAAGUCGCUAACCCGAACACUCCUCACAUGCAUGCAAAACGCUCCGAAGGCCCUAUCAUAUAGAGUGAAAUUUUCAUGAUACAUAAGGCAUGCAUUUUAAGUAUUCUAAAAUUUACAUAAAUCUCAUUUAACAUGAAUAUGCAAUCAAAUUGAUGUUACGACAAGUAUAGAAUACUUAGGGGCCAUUUCGCCCCGAUUUCAUGCAGUCAAACCCACCGAAGUUAUCGAAACCCUUCGUAAGCUCCGACGAAGGUGUCCAAUAGUCUCCUAGCAAUCUAAAGAUGUAGGAAUAAGAGUCAAACAAACCUUACUAUCAACCCUAAGCUCAAUCAAUAAGCAACAUAGGCUAAGGUGGAGAAAAACUCACCUAGGUGAAGAAAUCCUCUCUCAAGCUCCAAAUGGGAGUUAGAGUUCUUCAAAUCCAACCUAAAUAAAAGUUCUAAACCCAUCAAUUAGGUUUCAAAGCCUUCAAAUCAAAAAUUCCCAAAAUAAACCCUAAAUUCCAAAAUCUAAGGUUUCAUCUAGUAAAAUCUAGAAAAACUUGUAUUAAAUGGGAAAUACAAGCUACCAACCUCAAGAGAAGCUCCAAUCUAAGCUCUAAACCAAGUAGGGUUGGAGUUUGAUCCUCCACAAGGCUCCAACCGCAAGCUCCAAGCCACCAAAGGUGAGAAAUGAGGGGAAGAAGAUGAUGUUCCAAGGCCUC